rnacentral:rRNA from 1 species
AGUGAACGCUGGCGGCAUGCCUUACACAUGCAAGUCGAACGGCAGCACGGGUGCUUGCACCUGGUGGCGAGUGGCGAACGGGUGAGUAAUACAUCGGAACAUGUCCUGUAGUGGGGGAUAGCCCGGCGAAAGCCGGAUUAAUACCGCAUACGAUCCACGGCUGAAAGCGGGGGACCUUCGGGCCUCGCGCUAUAGGGUUGGCCGAUGGCGGAUUAGCUAGUUGGUGGGGUAAAGGCCUACCAAGGCGACGAUCAGUAGCUGGUCUGAGAGGACGACCAGCCACACUGGAACUGAGACACGGCCCAGACUCCUACGGGAGGCAGCAGUGGGGAAUUUUGGACAAUGGGCGAAAGCCUGAUCCAGCAAUGCCGCGUGUGUGAAGAAGGCCUUCGGGUUGUAAAGCACUUUUGUCCGGAAAGAAAUCCUUGACUCUAAUACAGUCGGGGGAUGACGGUACCGGAAGAAUAAGCACCGGCUAACUACGUG